rnacentral:lncRNA from 1 species
GAUGAAAACAUAAAUGGAUUCCCAGAAUCAUAGUUGAGAUUACACAUUUAAAACAUAGGAAAGCAACACACCAAUAAUACCUGAGUUUAAACAUAUUGUUCAUUCAAACUAGAGAUUACACACUAAAUUAAAAAAAGAGCAACGCAUUAACAACUGAGUGACCACAUAGAAAAGCUAGCAACACACAUGAUCCACGAAGAACACAGUUUGAGAUUACACCAAACUAAGACAUAGAAGCAGAAGUCACACCUGAAUGAAAACAUAAGAACUCUUCUCAUGACUCUAGCAUUUCACAGCCAAAAUGCCACUGGAUCCAUACAGACGGAACCCAUUCUUGCUUCAUGAGGCAGGCUGUACCAACGACUCUGACCCUUGCAGCUUUUAAGCUUCAAACAGUCUCCUUUCGGGUCAGAACUGAGGUUGAAGGUCCUAAGAUGAUACAUACAGCGGCCGCCUUGGGGCCCACCUCCCACAAAAUCUGACAUAUCAUCCACAUCAUCCCCCAGCGGCUCAUUUGGUCCACUUCCAACAUGAACUACCACGGCGAAAAGGGAGUAACGUUUGGUGGUUUCUUUACCUUCAUUCUUGUCUGAGUUUCCAAUAGACUGAAGUAAAGACAAGUUUUUAUCACACAAUUACAUGAAAUUAAAAAGGUGAUAUAGCAACUCUAAAUGUAAAUAUCACAGUGAUAACAGACAAGAGGCCAAGGGACAACCAAGUCAAUUGCCCAGAAGUUCUACAUGAGGUACCGGGUGAUUUGCAGUACAUUAGGGUGGGUGUGUGUGCGUGCGGGGGGGGGGGGGGGGGGGCGCUGCUGCAAAACAAAGCACAACCACAUGCUUUAUCCUCAGCACUCAAAACUCUGUUGAGCUGAAGCUCUUUAGACGGUUAUUGAACUAUUCUGUUCAAUGUCUAGUAUCAGGUCAAAAAAUGUUUCAUCUCUAUGAGUC